GCUAAACAGCUAGCUUAAACUACCAAAAAUAAUCAAAACAAUAUUAAAAACUUUACACAAAACACAACAUACAAAAUUAAAACAUUCUACCACCCCAGUAUGUGAGACAGAAAAGGACAACUUAAAGCCAUAAUAAAAGUACCGCAAGGGAAAGCUGAAAAAGAAAUGAAAUAAAUCAUUAAAGCAUAAUAAAGCAGAGACUAAACCUCGUACCUUUUGCAUCAUGAUUUAGUUAGUACCCCCGAGCAAAGCGCACUUUAGUUCGAAACCCCGAAACUAAGUGAGCUACCCCGAGACAGCCUAUCAACUAGGGCCAACCCGUCUCUGUGGCAAAAGAGUGGGAAGAUCUCCGGGUAGAGGUGACAGACCUACCGAACUUAGUUAUAGCUGGUUGCCUAGGAAAUGGAUAGAAGUUCAGCCUCGUGCCCCUCAACUCACAAACAUUUUAUAAAUUAAGAAUUAGAGAGACACACGAGAGUUAGCCAAAAGAGGUACAGCUCAUUUGGAAUAGGAUACAACCUUACCAGGAGGUUAAAGAUCAUAUUAAACAAGAUACAUCGUUUUAGUGGGCCUAAAAGCAGCCACCUACACAGAAAGCGUUAAAGCUCAAACGAACCAAACAUCUAUUAUUCAAAUACUUAAUCUUAAACCCCUAAUUGUACUAGGCCUCCCUAUAUUAAUAUAGAAAAGAUACUGCUAAAAUGAGUAAUAAGAAGAACAAAUCUUCUCCUUAGCCCAUGUGUAUGCUAGAUCGGACCCCCCACUAGCAAUUAACGAACCCAACCUAAGAGGGUAAUAUGUAAAUAUUAAACAUCAAGAAAAUCCCAUACUAAAUCAUCGUUAACCCCACACUGGAGGGCCCAACUUUAGGAAAGACUAAAAGAAAAGGAAGGAACUCGGCAAACACAAGCCUCGCCUGUUUACCAAAAACAUGGCCUCCUGCAAAUCACAACGUAUAGGAGGUCUUACCUGCCCAGUGACAAGUUUUAACGGCCGCGGUAUUUUGACCGUGCGAAGGUAGCGCAAUCACUUGUCUUUUAAAUGAAGACCUGUAUGAAUGGUAGAACGAGGGCUUAACUGUCUCCCCUUUCAAGUCAAUGAAAUUGAUCUGCCCGUGCAGAAGCGGACAUACAAGUACAAGACGAGAAGACCCUUUGGAGCUUUAGAUAUAAGACCACCUAUGUCAAGAAUAAUAAAAUAAAUUAAACUAAAUAGUAAUUGAUCUUAAUCUUUUGUUGGGGCGACCGCGGGAAAAAAGAAAGCUCCCAUGAGGACCGGGACACCAGUCCUAAAACCAAGAAAGACAUUUCCAAGUCACAGAACAUCUGACCUUAAAGAUCCGGCUAUUGACCGACCAACGGACCAAGUUACCCUAGGGAUAACAGCGCAAUCCCCUUCCAGAGUCCAUAUCGACAAGGGGGUUUACGACCUCGAUGUUGGAUCAGGACAUCCUAAUGGUGCAGCCGCUAUUAAGGGUUCGUUUGUUCAACGAUUAAAGUCCUACGUGAUCUGAGUUCAGACCGGAGUAAUCCAGGUCAGUUUCUAUCUGUAAUGUUACUCUUCCCAGUACGAAAGGACCGGAAAAGAGAGGCCCAUAUUAUUAAUACGCCUCAUCCCAACUUAAUGACAACAACUAAAUUAAAUAAA
rnacentral:rRNA from 1 species